rnacentral:lncRNA from 1 species
GCUGUCACUUGAUGUCAUGGAAAAAGGCCUGGAUGUGGACUUUACAGACCCUGGUUGCCUCUCUAGCUCUGUGUGAGCCCAGCUUCCUCAGUACGACAGAGGUACAGCGAUUCCCCCAAGUGUGCUUCACGGGGUCUGGUGUUCCUGCACCGCCCCCAGACCUGGAGGGGCUGCGCUUGUUAUCAGCCUGAAGGUCCGGAGCUCUGGGGAAGGGCACGGAUGGACGAAAAGUGUUCCAACAGCCGUGUGAAGAGGCUCCUUCGUGAAGCGCAGUGAGGAGGCUGGGCUCCCAGCGGCCCAGCAGCUCCACUACCUUCUGCGUGUCACCAGCAGGCCUUGACACACUCACUUUGCAGAGAGCAGGACUGGCCUGCAGGGCUUGUGUGUGGGUUAAGCUAGGUGAACACGUCGAAUCCACUUUGCACAGUUCCAGCCUCAGGACAAUCCCCCCAGAAGCUACCUUGCUGUACCUAUUUAAUGGAUGAAGAAGCUGAGUCGAGGAAAGGGUUCCUAGAAGCCGGCGACGCUGCAACAAGUGGAACCUGCUGUUCGCGAGCCUUGGGCCUGCAGCCACGAGGGAAACCCGAGACAUAGGCAGAAAUGGAAGGCCGUGCACACUUCCGUCCAAGCGUUUGGGACUGUGUUGCUUGACUGUGUCAUUGCUCACAGUACACCUGUGAUUCAUUGAGUCUCAGAAUUUUAAAAAAAUUGUAUCAAAGUAAUAUGUGCACAGUUUUUAUAUUUUAAAUCAAUUUGUUUAAAAGAACGUUUAAAAACAGCAACAAAACUGAUUUCCUGCUGUCCUGCUCCCCAUCCAUCUUCCCAUCCUUGCCCCCUGCCUGCUUCUGCUCCCCAGAGGCGAUAACCACUGUCAGGUGCUAGUGCCCUCUCUUUCUGAAUAAUGUGCUUAUGCUGCUAUGUCUUUAUCCAUUUUAGACAUCUGAUGGCUUCUUCAUACGGCAAAUGAGAACUUAGCAACUUCGCACUGCUCCCCUUUUUACUUUUUUCCUCUCUCAUCCUUCCAAUAUAAUUAUAUUUGAGUAAAGCAAUAAUCAGGUAGUAUUCUGACAAUAAAAAUAUUGCUGUAACCUUGUCUCCUAGAUCCUGUGUCCUCUCUUUCUUGAUUUACCUCUUUGUCUUGCUGGAACACCUCCUUCAGUACCUUCCUGAGAAAGGGUACAUUUUGAAUUUGGUAAGGUAUUGAAUUCUAGGUUAAAAAUCAUUUUAAAAGGAUCGCUCCCUUGUCUUCUAAUUUGUGGAAGCUGUCAGACUUCUCAAGACACCAUUUCUAUUCCA